rnacentral:rRNA from 1 species
CCUACGGGUGGCUGCAGUCGAGAAUCUUUCACAAUGGGGGAAACCCUGAUGGUGCGACGCCGCGUGGGGGAAUGAAGGUCUUCGGAUUGUAAACCCCUGUUAUGUGGGAGUAAAUUAAAAAGAUAGUACCACAAGAGGAAGAGACGGCUAACUCGGUGCCAGCAGCCGCGGGAAUACAGAGGUCUCAAGCGUUGUUCGGAAUCACUUGUCGUAAAGCGUGCGUAGGCUGUUUCGUAAGUCGUGUGUGAAAGGUGCGGGCUCAACCCGCGGACGGCACCUGAUACUGCGAGACUAGAGUAAUGGAGGGGGAGCCGGAAUUCGCGGUGUAGAGGUGAAAUGCGUAGAUAUCGAGAGGAACACUCGUGGCGAAGGCGGGUUCCUGGACAUUAACUGACGCUGAGGCACGAAGGCCAGGGGAGCGAAAGGGAUUAGAUACCCCUGUAGUC